ACGAACGCUGGCGGCGUGCCUAAUACAUGCAAGUAGAACGCUGAAGAGAGGAGCUUGCUCUUCUUGGAUGAGUUGCGAACGGGUGAGUAACGCGUAGGUAACCUGCCUUGUAGCGGGGGAUAACUAUUGGAAACGAUAGCUAAUACCGCAUAACAAUGGAUGACCCAUGUCAUUUAUUUGAAAGGGGCAAAUGCUCCACUACAAGAUGGACCUGCGUUGUAUUAGCUAGUAGGUGAGGUAACGGCUCACCUAGGCGACGAUACAUAGCCGACCUGAGAGGGUGAUCGGCCACACUGGGACGGAGACACGGCCCAGACUCCUACGGGAGGCAGCAGUAGGGAAUCUGCGGCAAUGGGGGCAACCCUGACCGAGCAACGCCGCGUGAGUGAAGAAGGUUUUCGGAUCGUAAAGCUCUGUUGUAAGUCAAGAACGAGUGUGAGAGUGGAAAGUUCACACUGUGACGGUAGCUUACCAGAAAGGGACGGCUAACUACGUG
rnacentral:rRNA from 1 species